rnacentral:rRNA from 1 species
GAGGUGUCAGUGCGGGUAAGUUGUAUGGAAAUACAUGCCGCGGAGGGUGAGAGUCCCGUCCAGCCUGCACAGGACACCUUGUACGAGAGCGUCUCUGACGAGUCGGGUAGCUUGGGAAUGCUGCUCUAAUUGGUGGUAAAUCUCAUCAAAGGCUAAAUAGUGACCGGAAACCGAUAGCGAACAAGUACCGUGAGGGAAAGAUGACAAGCACUUUGAAAAGAGGGUGAAAAGAACCUGAAACCGUCAUGGGGGAAGCGGAUUGCGUUGAGUAAAAGGGAUGUUGUGUGUUCAGCCUUUGAGGUGCAUUGGCGCAACAACCCGAUCUGUCGUGGGUUCUGCGCGGUUGAUUUUGAACCGUGCAGGGCUGAGGGCUCCCUUUUAUAGGUGAGGACGAUUAGAUAGUGACGCGAUACGACCCGUCUUGAAACACGGACCAAGGAGUCUAGCGCUACUGCGAGUCAAAGGGUGCAAGCCUGAGGGCGCAGUGAAAGCGAGUUUGAAAACGAGCAGUUUGGGGCGGCAUGAGAUUGUUAAUUUCAAGUCCGACCUUGAGCAGUUGCGCUGGGACCCGAAAGAUGGUGAACUAUGCCGGAGUAGGGCAAAGCCAGAGGAAACUCUGGUGGAGGCUCGUAGCGGUGCUGACGUGCAAAUCGCUCGUCUGACUUGGGUAUAGGGGCGAAAGACUAAUCGAACCAUCUAGUAGCUGGUUCCCUCCGAAGUUUCUCUCAGGAUAGCGGGCCGACGGGUGUUGUUUUGUGUGGUAAAGCGAAUGAUUAGCGCACUCGGGGGCAAUAUGCCUUUGGGCGAUUCUCAAACUUUCAAUACGCAAGGGUGCCGCUGCUUGGUUGAGCGGCACCGGCAAAAACGUCGGCCCUGUGGGCCACUUUUGGUAAGCAGAACUGGCGAUACGGGAUGAACCGUAAGUGUGGUUAAGGCGCCAAACUGCCCGCUUAU